rnacentral:lncRNA from 1 species
UUAAUUUGGUAAGAAAUAUGCAUGCCAUUGAAUCAAUGGAUAAUUCUUUGUCUAAACAUUUCAGUGUUGAUUGACCCAGGAAUUGAAAUGUUUGCCCCUUCCUCACACUGUUCAACAAAAAGAUGACUGAUUGGAUUCAAGAAAUGAAAGGAAGAUAAGAAGCAAAGAUCAACUUGAGGUGGUUAGAUGCAGCCCCUAAAAUGAGAAGCUAAAUGUAGAGGCUUGUGAAUGCACCCACCAUGAACCUUGUUCAGCUGAAAGAAGAUGCCCCUACCUUGACAACAGUCUUUCCUGUGCAUAUCUCGACUGCAGAUUGUGUUUUCACGGAUGAUGACUGAGGAUCUCCUCUAGUGUGGACCAGCCAUGUGACUUCGCAUGAUCUAUUCAAACUCUCGGAGAACUUCAACUGAACAAAUGUCUGUCAGGGACCUUCUUGCAUCCAAUUCAGAUACAAGACACACCUCCAUUCCUGGUUCACUAUGCAGAGAUGUCAUAACUCCUGUGGUAGUUAUCCCUGAAUCUAAUGAUCUAAUGUCAUCC